rnacentral:rRNA from 1 species
UACGUAGGGUGCAAGCGUUAAUCGGAAUUACUGGGCGUAAAGCGCACGUAGGCGGCUUCGCAAGUCAGGGGUGAAAGCCCGGGGCUUAACCCCGGAACUGCCUUUGAGACUGCGUCGCUUGAAUCCGGGAGAGGCGGGUGGAAUUCCGAGUGUAGAGGUGAAAUUCGUAGAUAUUCGGAAGAACACCAGUGGCGAAGGCGGCCCGCUGGACCGGUAUUGACGCUGAGGUGCGAAAGCGUGGGGAGCAAACAGG